rnacentral:rRNA from 1 species
UACGUAGGGUGCGAGCGUUGUCCGGAAUUAUUGGGCGUAAAGGGCUCGUAGGCGGUUUGUCGCGUCGGGAGUGAAAUCCACUGGCUUAACUGGUGGCUUGCUUUCGAUACGGGCAGACUGGAGGUAUGCAGGGGAGAACGGAAUUCCUGGUGUAGCGGUGAAAUGCGCAGAUAUCAGGAGGAACACCGGUGGCGAAGGCGGGUCUCUGGGUCGAUACUGACGCUGAGGAGCGAAAGCAUGGGUAGCGAACAGG